rnacentral:rRNA from 1 species
GGUCGGAGCCGAUCUUCGGAUCGGUGACGGCGUGCCUUUUGCAUAAUGAGCCGGCGAGUUAAUCUCUGUAGCAAGCUUAAGCGGUACCCCCGCGUAGGCGCAGCGAAAGCGAGUCUUAAAAGGGCGACACAGUUGCAGGGAUUAGACGCGAAACCAGGUGAUCUACCCAUGGCCAGGUUGAAGGGGCGGUAACACGCCCUGGAGGACCGAACCCGUAAUCGUUGAAAAGAUUUGGGAUGAGCUGUGGGGAGGAGUCAAAGUCUAAUCAUACCUGGAGAUAUCUCGUUCUCUUCGAAAUAGUUUUUGGGCUAGCCUCACGUUAUACCCUGCAGGGGUAGAGCGACUGAUUGGGACUGGGGGGCACCAGCCUACCCACCCCAGCCAAACUCCGAAUACUGCAGGGCUCUAUCGUGGGAGUCAGACCGCGGGGGAUAAUCUUCGUGGUCGAGAGGGAAACAACCCAGACCGCC